AGAUUGAACGCUGGCGGCAUGCCUAACACAUGCAAGUCGAACGGGAGUAGCAAUACUCUAGUGGCGGACGGGUGAGGAAUACGUAGGAAUUUGCCCUUAAGUGGGGGAUAACCCGGGAAACCCGGAUUAAUACCGCAUGACCUCGAAAGAGCAAAGAGGGGGAUCGCAAGACCUCACGCUUUUGGAGAAGCCUACGUCGGAUUAGCUAGUUGGUGAGGUAAUGGCUCACCGAAGGCGACGAUCCGUAACUGGUCU
rnacentral:rRNA from 1 species